rnacentral:rRNA from 1 species
AGUGAACGCUGGCGGUAGGCCUAACACAUGCAAGUCGAACGGCAGCACAGUAAGAGCUUGCUCUUACGGGUGGCGAGUGGCGGACGGGUGAGGAAUACAUCGGAAUCUACUUUUUCGUGGGGGAUAACGUAGGGAAACUUACGCUAAUACCGCAUACGACCUACGGGUGAAAGCAGGGGAUCUUCGGACCUUGCGCGAUUGAAUGAGCCGAUGUCGGAUUAGCUAGUUGGCGGGGUAAAGGCCCACCAAGGCGACGAUCCGUAGCUGGUCUGACAGGAUGAUAACCCAGACUAGAUCAGAGACACGGUCCAGACUCUUACGGGAGGCAGCAGUGGAGAAUAUUAGACAAUGGGCGCAAGCCUGAUCCAGCCAUACCGCGUGGGUGAAGAAGGCCUUCGGGUUGUAAAGCCCUUUUGUUGGGAAAGAAAAGCAGCAGGUUAAUACCCCGCUGUUCUGACGGUACCCAAAGAAUAAGCACCGGCUAACUUCGUG